rnacentral:tRNA from 1 species
GAGAGUGUAGCUCAGUGGUAGAGUGCAAGCCUAGCAUGCACAAGGUCCUGGGUUCAAUUCCCAGUAUUUCUG